rnacentral:rRNA from 1 species
UGGUGGGAUACUACCCUAGCUGUGUUGGCUUUCUAACCCGCACCACUUAUCGUGGUGGGAGACAGUGUCAGGCGGGCAGUUUGACUGGGGCGGUCGCCUCCUAAAAGGUAACGGAGGCGCUCAAAGGGUCCCUCAGAAUGGUUGGAAAUCAUUCAUAGAGUGUAAAGGCAUAAGGGAGCUUGACUGCGAGACCUACAAGUCGAGCAGGGUCGAAAGACGGACUUAGUGAUCCGGUG